rnacentral:rRNA from 1 species
UACAGAGGGUGCAAGCGUUAUCCGGAUUCACUGGGUUUAAAGGGUGUGUAGGCGGAUAUUUAAGUCAGUGGUGAAAUCUCCAGGCUCAACCUGGAAACUGCCAUUGAUACUAUUUAUCUUGAAUAUCGUUGAGGUAGGCGGAAUAUGUCAUGUAGCGGUGAAAUGCUUAGAGAUGACAUAGAACACCAAUUGCGAAGGCAGCUUACUAAACGAUUAUUGACGCUGAGGCACGAAAAGCGUGGGGAUCAAACAGG